ensembl:lncRNA
GUCCCCUCCCUUCUCCCUCUGUUCUGGGGAAUGAUGGAGGAGCUUAUUAUUGCAGACACAUUAGCUCUCCUCUGACAGACAGAACACAUGCACCUCCUCCCCUCCUUGUAAGGCUUGGGGCGGGUCCGGGGUGGGGGUGCCUGGGGCCAAUCACUGAAGGAAAGAAAGAAAGAAAGAAAGAAAGAAAGAAAGAAAGGAAGGAAGGAAGGAAGGAAGGAAGGAAGGAAGGAAGGAAGGAAGGAAGGAAGGAAGGAAGAAAGAAAGAAAGAAAGAAAGAAAGAAAGAAAGAAAGAAAGAAAGAAAGAAAAAGAAAGAAAACACAAGGCUUCUGAUUCACCAGAGCCAAGUUCUAUCACAGUUUGAACUCUCUGGUGUUGUGAAAACACUCAUGUUGUGUCAGGAGCGUGAUCACCGUCACUGGACCAGCUCAAUGUCAAUCAAGAAAACGCAGCUUAUUACUAUUCUGAUCAGUCCUUUACAGAGCAUCAGGGCUGAGGCUACUCCUACAUAUAAUAUACAUCAGAUAAUUAUUUUCACCACCUACUAUGUUUAGAGUAUCAGGAGGAAAAGUGAAAAAAGUUCACCUCAACAGUAAAUAACAGUGGUUCCAAACAAAAUAGAACCAACUUGGUUUCCAUUUCUCUCUAUAAAACUGUAUAAAGAGGAGCUUCGUCCUCUUACAGUAAAUAACCACCCAGUAUUGCAUUGGACAAUAAAGAAUAGGGUCAUUUAAUCAGUAUUUUAUCAGAUACCAAUUAAUAAGAGCCCAGUGCAAUUAGGUAGUCAAUCUACAAAUGGAAACAUCUGAAAAUGCAAAUAUUAAAAUCUCUAAAACAUCCAGAUGAGUCUUUCCCAAAAGUUUUUUUUUUCUUAAAUCAGAACAUGCAAUAGUCAAAACUGUUUCCUCAAAAACAGGAUUAAAUACUGAGAUCCAAAGAUCUGUAAAUUGUAAGAACAAUUAUGCAGUCACUCUACCAAACUGUGUGGAUUAAUAUGGCAAAUAUGCUUUAGAUCGGGGUUGUCUGCACCGAGUUAAAUAAGAGUGAGACAGAGAGAGGCUGUCGUCUCUAGACUACUGAAAAACCUCCUAUUGCUGACAGUCUGUGCAGGAAGAGGACAAGAAACAAGACAAAGCAGUUGUACAAUAUCAUGAUGUUCAAGCACAUACUGUAUAAAACAUGAUUUUAAAACAGAAAUGACCAACUGUGCCAUGUUCAGGAAGGACAACCUCUCAGAAUCCAACAUCAGAUAUGUCUCUGUAUACCAGAACUGGAGGAAGAGUGCUA